rnacentral:misc_RNA from 1 species
UUUCCGUAGGUGAACCUGCGGAAGGAUCAUUCAUAAUAAAGUGUUUUAUGGCACUUUUUAAAAAUCCAUAUCCACCUUGUGUGCAAUGUUAGAUCUCGUCAAUCUUGGCGAGAUUUUUAUACAUCAACUCAUUUUUUAACUAAUUUGUCUGAAAAAUAUUAUGAAUGCUUAAUUCAAAAUACAACUUUCAACAACGGAUCUCUUGGCUCUC